UCCGGUGGCUUUUGCGAGGGGGAAACACCCGUUCCCAUUCCGAACACGGCCGUUAAGCCCCUCAGCGUCGAUGGUACUGCCCGGGCGACCGGGUGGGAGAGUAGAACGCCGCCGGGA
rnacentral:rRNA from 1 species